rnacentral:rRNA from 1 species
AUUUUGUUUAUGACAACUAGAGAAGGAGAAGACGAGGCAGACGAAUGGCACAAACGACAAACAGGAGAGCGCUGAAACCAAUCUUUCGUUAUCCUCGCAUUUGUUACCGUAACCAAACAGAACUUUACAAAAACCAAUCGCCGUAUCCAAACAACCCCAUAAUAUCUCGCGUUGGCCCUCACGCGCACACAUCCCAAUCUCUUCCUGCCCCCUCUCCGCGCCAGGGUUCAUCGUCCCAGCCGCCAUGAUGCCCCAGCCGCAGCCCGGCGUCGCCCCGCCGCAGUGGGGCGCCAUCCCACCGCCCAUGCCGCCGCACCAGCUCUGCGCGCCGGCGCCCCCGCUCCUGCCCCCGCAGAUGUGGGGCCAGCCGCUGCCGCCCCAGCAGGCCGCGUACUACGGCCGGCCGGCUGCCCCGACGCAGGCGCCCGCUGGGCCCAACGAGGUCAGGACACUCUGGAUAGGGGACCUGCAGUACUGGAUGGACGAGAACUACGUCUACAAUUGCUUCGCGAGCACCGGCGAGGUGCAAUCUGUGAAGCUGAUUCGUGACAAGCAGACUGGACAACUUCAAGGUUAUGGCUUCAUUGAAUUCACAAGCCAUGCUGGCGCUGAAAGAGUUCUUCAGACAUUCAACGGGGCAAUGAUGCCAAAUGUUGAGAUGGCAUACAGAUUGAACUGGGCGACUGCUGGUGAAAAACGUGAUGAUGGCGCCGAUUACACAAUAUUUGUUGGUGAUUUGGCUGCUGAUGUCACAGACUACGUAUUGCAAGAGACAUUUAGGGUACAGUACCCCUCGGUUAAGGGUGCAAAAGUUGUAAUGGAUAAACUGACAAUGCGCCCAAAGGGCUAUGGCUUUGUGAAAUUUGGUGAUCCUACAGAGCAAACUCGUGCAAUGACUGAAAUGAAUGGGAUGCUCUGUUCUUCGAGGCCCAUGCGUAUUGGACCAGCUGCAAAUAAGCAAAAAGCAACUGGAGUUCAAGAGAAAGAUAUUUGUUGGUGGCCUUGACCCCAACGCCACUGAGGAUGUGUUAAAACAACUUUUCACUCCAUAUGGAGAAGUCGUCCAUGUUAAGAUACCUGUUGGCAAAAGAUGUGGUUUUGUUCAAUAUGCUAGCAGAUCCUCUGCAGAGUAAGCCCUGCUAAUGCUGCAAGGUACCAUGAUUGGAGGGCAGAAUGUGAGACUUUCAUGGGGUCGGAGCCCUUCAAACAAACAAGUUCAGUCCCAACAGGACUUCAACCAGUGGGGUGGUGCUACUGCUAAUGCUGGCUACUAUGGCUACGGACAAGGCUACAGGGCUUAUGGAUAUGCUACUCCCCCUCAGGACCCUAACAUGUAUGGGUAUGGGACAUAUGCUGGCUACCCAAACUAUCCACCACAAGUAGCACAACAGCCGCAGCAGGAACUGUACUCCAGUCUUUCUGAAGUUCAUCAAGUCUCGUAGCAAGGCGACUCCACACGCAGGUAGGCGGCGUCGCGCGGCUCCCCUAGCUCCGGCAACGGGUCGUGGUUACCAGAAGCGCCAACGCGUCCAUGACUACGCCGUUGACAUCAUCACAACAGCUGGAGCUCCGGGGAAUCUCCG